ensembl:lncRNA
CGGAGCUUCAAAUCAAGUUCAAGUGAACACAUUUGGCUUUAACCCACAGUUGUACAUAGUUCGCUUCAGGCCUGCUCUAUUUAUUUAUUUUAUUGCGCUUUUAAUUUGAAAGUGGAUUUUCACGGUUUAAAAAAAAUAAUAAAAUUGGAUAAAAAUAUUGUAUGGUAAAGUAUUAUUAUUAUUAGUAUUAUUAUCGGAUGUUUUUUUUGGACAACUUAAUCAAUAUUUUUUUAGACCACCCCGUUUGUGUCUCUGAUCACUAAUUGUUGUGUUUUGCAACGUCAUCAUUAGAUACGCCACAUCGCUUCAUAUUAAUCCUCAGUGGGGUUUUUAAGUCAUUAGGAUGUUUAAGCAGCUAAACGUUUAAUUAUAGUGCCUCUUGCGAUGCGUUGCCAUUGGGCUCACUAAUUAACGCUUUCAACUCGUUUUUUCUCCCCCUCCAGCUGAAACGAUUAUUUGCAAAAAAUAAAAAAAUAAACAAUGGUUCACUUGCGUGUUCAGGUAGGUAUAUAGCGAGUGCAGCGAAGAGAUGGCAAUUAAGCCAGAAGAGGAGGGGACGUGUAGCCAGAGAAGAAACUGGAUAUAGCGGGAUUUAAAAAAAAAAAAGUCGAAAUGAAUUUGAUGUAAAAUUAAGCACGUUUAUUGAUAAUCUAUAAAAAGCCUCAUUUCCACACAAGUCCUCUUUACAGUUCUCCUCAUUAAAUAUUAAUGAAGUUUCUGCUUAAACCUUAGGCAUUAAUUACUAUUAUUUCUACUGCAUCGGAAAGCGGGAGGAUUCCUCCUGUAGCGUUGAGUUGCCUCCUGUGUCUAUUUGCACUGAAACUGCCCCAUUUAAUGCUCUCUUAUCUGUCAUUCCUGUGCACAUUAGCAAUGUAUCAGUCGAUAUAAUGUUGUCCUUUCUUCUGUUUUUAAAUGUCAGGAAGCAGUUAUUCACUUAAUGUUGUUUGGAUCCUCUGCCUGGCCUUGUUUGUGAAAAAGAUUAAUAUCUGAGAAGAUGAUCUCAUGCAAAUAAUCACUGACACACAUCCACUCGUUUAUUUGGGCGCAUUGUGAGUGAGUAUUUUGUCCGAUUAAAACGAAAUAUAAGUAGCUCGUGCUGUUGGCAGACAUACACUUGCAAUACAUUUGUAGUCAUCAUUUUUCAUCG